AGAGUUUGAUCCUGGCUCAGAUUGAACGCUGGCGGCAGGCUUAACACAUGCAAGUCGAGCGGGGUGAUGUAGCUUGCUACAUUACCUAGCGGCGGACGGGUGAGUAAUGCUUAGGAAUCUGCCUAUUAGUGGGGGACAACAUUCCGAAAGGAAUGCUAAUACCGCAUACGCCCUACGGGGGAAAGCAGGGGAUCUUCGGACCUUGCGCUAAUAGAUGAGCCUAAGUCAGAUUAGCUAGUUGGUGGGGUAAAGGCCUACCAAGGCGACGAUCUGUAGCGGGUCUGAGAGGAUGAUCCGCCACACUGGGACUGAGACACGGCCCAGACUCCUACGGAAGGCAGCAGUGGGGAAUAUUGGACAAUGGGCGAAAGCCUGAUCCAGCCAUGCCGCGUGUGUGAAGAAGGCCUUUUGGUUGUAAAGCACUUUAAGCGAGGAGGAGGCUACCGAGAUUAAUACUCUUGGAUAGUGGACGUUACUCGCAGAAUAAGCACCGGCUAACUCUGUGCCAGCAGCCGCGGUAAUACAGAGGGUGCGCGCGUUAAUCGGAUUUACUGGGCGUAAAGCGUGCGUAGGCGGCUUUUUAAGUCGGAUGUGAAAUCCCUGAGCUUAACUUAGGAAUUGCAUUCGAUACUGGGAAGCUAGAGUAUGGGAGAGGAUGGUAGAAUUCCAGGUGUAGCGGUGAAAUGCGUAGAGAUCUGGAGGGAUACCGAUGGCGAAGGCAGCCAUCUGGCCUAAUACUGACGCUGAGGUACGAAAGCAUGGGGAGCAAACAGGAUUAGAUACCCUGGUAGUCCAUGCCGUAAACGAUGUCUACUAGCCGUUGGGGCCUUUGAGGCUUUAGUGGCGCAGCUAACGCGAUAAGUAGACCGCCUGGGGAGUACGGUCGCAAGACUAAAACUCAAAUGAAUUGACGGGGGCCCGCACAAGCGGUGGAGCAUGUGGUUUAAUUCGAUGCAACGCGAAGAACCUUACCUGGUCUUGACAUAGUAAGAACUUUCCAGAGAUGGAUUGGUGCCUUCGGGAACUUACAUACAGGUGCUGCAUGGCUGUCGUCAGCUCGUGUCGUGAGAUGUUGGGUUAAGUCCCGCAACGAGCGCAACCC
rnacentral:rRNA from 1 species